CUGCCCGCCCGGGCCGGGCCGGGGCCAUGCCCGGGGUCCCCCUCCUGCGGGUCGGGCUCCGGAGCCGGGGCGCUCAUCGCGGCCAAAGCCCGCCUGGCAGCGGCGGGGCGGGACGGGCGGUUCGCCCGGGACUGGCCGGCUGCCGAGAGGAGCCUGAAGUGCGAUAACCGCCGAGAAACUCAUCCAUUUAGGAGAGGAGCAACCCCAUGGAUUUCCAUUGAUAACACGUGGAGCUCAGCAAGAAUGAAAUAGCCAAGGAAGCCUCCGAAACCAAGACAACCCGUGUGUGUUUACACAUACUAUGUAUAAACAGGAAAAUAAAGCAAAAAGAAAACAGGAAAAUAAAGUAAAAGAUGUCGUGAA